AUGGGCGUGUCAAACAUGUCGUACUUGUACGUUGCACGCAUGUGCCCUUGCGAAGCCAUCAAAUGUCGACUUCCUGUACUCGCGUCGAUCAAUGUCGUCGAGGAAGUUGAGACCGUAGACCAGCAUGCCCCAUACCUUGAUGUGGAGAAGGCUACAUUUUUUAAGGUCAGCGUGAGUACUCUGAGUCGACAAUUAUUCAUCCUUACGCAUCCUCCUCGACCCAAUGGGAGUAUUGCCAUACCCUAUCGCAGAACUCUCUCUCGACGCGAUUCUCUUGUGGCGAAGGGCACAAUGGCCAUUUGGAUCAAUAUCGACUUCUUGUACCCGGUCUUGGCGACAACAUGGAGAGCUCGGCCUUGGCCCGUUAACCGCCUAGCCCUGCAUUAG
rnacentral:rRNA from 1 species